UACAGAGGGGGCAAGCGUUGUUCGGAAUUACUGGGCGUAAAGGGCGCGUAGGCGGCCUGCUAAGUCGAACGUGAAAUCCCCGGGCUCAACCCGGGAACUGCGUCCGAUACUGACAGGCUUGAAUCCGGGAGAGGGAUGCGGAAUUCCAGGUGUAGCGGUGAAAUGCGUAGAUAUCUGGAGGAACACCGGUGGCGAAGGCGGGUUGCUGGGCUGACACUGACGCUGAGGCGCGAAAGCGUGGGGAGCAAACAGG
rnacentral:rRNA from 1 species